rnacentral:rRNA from 1 species
CGGGUAGCGGAACACGUACAGAACCUUCCUUCGAGUGGGGAAUAGCCCGAAGAAAUUCGGAUUAAUACCCCAUAGUAUUAUGAAGUGGCAUCACUUUAUAAUUAAAGAUUUAUUGCUUGAAGAUGGCUGUGCGCCUGAUUAGGUAGUUGGCGGGGUAACGGCCCACCAAGCCUGCGAUCAGUAACUGGUGUGAGAGCACGACCAGUCACACGGGCACUGAGACACGGGCCCG